UGGGGAAUAUUGCACAAUGGGCGCAAGCCUGAUGCAGCCAUGCCGCGUGUGUGAAGAAGGCCUUCGGGUUGUAAAGCACUUUCAGCGGGGAGGAAGGCGUUAAGGUUAAUAACCUUGGCGAUUGACGUUACCCGCAGAAGAAGCACCGGCUAACUCCGUGCCAGCAGCCGCGGUAAUACGGAGGGUGCAAGCGUUAAUCGGAAUUACUGGGCGUAAAGCGCACGCAGGCGGUCUGUCAAGUCGGAUGCGAAAUCCCCGGGCUCAACCUGGGAACUGCAUUCGAAACUGGCAGGCUAGAGUCUUGUAGAGGGGGGUAGAAUUCCAGGUGUAGCGGUGAAAUGCGUAGAGAUCUGGAGGAAUACCGGUGGCGAAGGCGGCCCCCUGGACAAAGACUGACGCUCAGGUGCGAAAGCGUGGGGAGCAAACAGG
rnacentral:rRNA from 1 species